UACGUAGGCAGCGAGCGUUGUUCGGAGUUACUGGGCGUAAAGGGUGUGUAGGCGGUUUGUCGCGUCUGCUGUGAAAACUCGGGGCUUAACCCCGGGCCUGCAGUGGGUACGGGCAGACUAGAGUGCGGUAGGGGAGACUGGAAUUCCUGGUGUAGCGGUGAAAUGCGCAGAUAUCAGGAGGAACACCGGUGGCGAAGGCGGGUCUCUGGGCCGUAACUGACGCUGAGGAGCGAAAGCGUGGGGAGCGAACAGG
rnacentral:rRNA from 1 species